rnacentral:rRNA from 1 species
UCCGUAGGUGAACCUGCGGAAGGAUCAUUACCUAGAGUUUGUAGACUUCGGUCUGCUACCUCUUACCCAUGUCUUUUGAGUACCUUCGUUUCCUCGGCGGGUCCGCCCGCCGAUUGGACAACAUUCAAACCCUUUGCAGUUGCAAUCAGCGUCUGAAAAAACAUAAUAGUUACAACUUUCAACAACGGAUCUCUUGGUUCUGGCAUCGAUGAAGAACGCAGCGAAAUGCGAUAAGUAGUGUGAAUUGCAGAAUUCAGUGAAUCAUCGAAUCUUUGAACGCACAUUGCGCCCCUUGGUAUUCCAUGGGGCAUGCCUGUUCGAGCGUCAUUUGUACCUUCAAGCUCUGCUUGGUGUUGGGUGUUUUGUCUCGCCUCUGCGUGUAGACUCGCCUUAAAACAAUUGGCAGCCGGCGUAUUGAUUUCGGAGCGCAGUACAUCUCGCGCUUUGCACUCAUAACGACGACGUCCAAAAGUACAUUUUUACACUCUUGACCUCGGAUCAGGUAGGGAUACCCGCUGAACUUAAGCAUAUCAAUAAGCGGAGGA